CCUACGGGAGGCAGCAGUGGGGAAUAUUGGACAAUGGGGGCAACCCUGAUCCAGCCAUGCCGCGUGUGUGAAGAAGGCCCUCGGGUUUUAAAGCACUUUCAGUGAGGAAGAACGCCUGGUGGUUAAUACCCAUCAGGAAAGACAUCACUCACAGAAGAAGCACCGGCUAACUCCGUGCCAGCAGCCGCGGUAAUACGGAGGGUGCGAGCGUUAAUCGGAAUUACUGGGCGUAAAGCGCGCGUAGGUGGCUUGAUAAGCCGGUUGUGAAAGCCCCGGGCUCAACCUGGGAACGGCAUCCGGAACUGUCAAGCUAGAGUGCAGGAGAGGAAGGUAGAAUUCCCGGUGUAGCGGUGAAAUGCGUAGAGAUCGGGAGGAAUACCAGUGGCGAAGGCGGCCUUCUGGACUGACACUGACACUGAGGUGCGAAAGCGUGGGUAGCAAACAGGAUUAGAUACCCUAGUAGUC
rnacentral:rRNA from 1 species